CGGCAACAACCUUGUAUCGAGUGUGUGAAACGAAGAAAAGAAGAAGAAAAGAGAAAGAGAAAAAUUGUGUGUACGAAGAGUCUCCGCUGAAAGUUUUGGUUUCUUGAAGAUGUCGUCACUCUCUGAUCUUAUCAACCUUAAUCUCUCCGACAUCACGGAGAAGGUGAUCGCCGAGUACAUAUGGGUUGGUGGAUCCGGCAUGGACAUGAGAAGCAAAGCAAGGACUCUCUCAGGACCAGUUAGAGACCCUUCAAAGCUUCCCAAGUGGAACUAUGAUGGUUCCAGCACUGGUCAAGCUCCUGGACAAGAUAGUGAAGUGAUCUUAUAGUAAGUUUUUAUGUUAUUAAUUAAUUAAUUU